AUUGAACGCUGGCGGCAGGCCUAACACAUGCAAGUCGAGCGGAGCGGCGGACGGGUGAGUACUGCCUAGGAAUCUGCCUGGUAGUGGGGGAUAACUUCCGGACACGGGCGCUAAUAACCCAUACUAUCAGAUGAGCCUAGGUCGGAUUAGCUAGUUGGUGGGGUAAAGGCCUACCAAGGCGACGAUCCGUAACUGGGCUGCGAGGAGGAUCAGUCACACGGGAAAUGAGACACGGUCUAGACUCCUACGGGAGGCAGCAGUGGGGAAUAUGGGACAAUGGGCGAGAGCCUGAUACAGCCAUGCCGCGUGUGUGAAGAAGGUCUUCGGAUUGUAAAGCACUUUAGGUUGGGAGGAGGUAUCAACCGAAUAAGCACCGGCUAACUUCGUGCCAGCAGGGGCGGUAAUAC
rnacentral:rRNA from 1 species